rnacentral:rRNA from 1 species
CCUACGGGGGGCUGCAGUAGGGAAUAUUGCAUAAUGGGCGAAAGCCUGAUGCAGCAACGCCGCGUGUGCGAUGAAGGCCUUCGGGUCGUAAAGCACUUUUCGAUGGGAUGAGGAAGGACAGUACCAUCGGAAUAAGCCUCGGCUAACUACGUGCCAGCAGCCGCGGUAACACGUAGGAGGCGAGCGUUAUCCGGAUUUACUGGGCGUAAAGCGCGUGCAGGCGGCUGGGUAAGUUGGAUGUGAAAGCUCCUGGCUUAACUGGGAGAGGUCGUUCAAUACUACCCGGCUAGAGUGUGGUAGAGGAAGAUGGAAUUCCGGGUGUAGUGGUGAAAUGCGUAGAUAUCCGGAGGAACACCAGUGGCGAAAGCGAUCUUCUGGCCCAUAACUGACGCUCAGACGCGAAAGCUAGGGUAGCAAACGGGAUUAGAUACCCCAGUAGUC